rnacentral:lncRNA from 1 species
GUGAAGUGGUAAUACGGUUUCCAUCCACACGCUGUAGCGCCAGCUCCCGCCUGACUGUCUGCGUAAAGCUCGGCGAAUCUCAAGUGGACCGAGAGGAAUUGGUUCAGUAAAGUGAGAGUGCGAUGAGGAGAGGAGCCAGAGAGUGAGGCGAUGGGCUGCACCUCUGCUAAGCAGGUGUCGGCCGUGCCCAGCGAUGAGGAGGGCCGGGGCAAGGCCUACAGCAACGGAGACCUCUUCACCGACGAGUACAAGAUGAAGGGAGUGGAGGAGGUGAAGUACAUGCGUGGAGAGGAGGACCGGGUGAACGCACGCAACCAGGAGAACCUGGUGAGAGAGGAGCGACCACACACACACACACACACACACGUAGUCUGACUGUUCAUCAACACACAGAAAACACACCGUCCUCUUUGACAUUCAAUCAACACAUGCAAACAGACAGCGUUUGUGCUAAAUGCACCCAUCCACAGAAGCCCCCCCCACCCAACACACACAGCCACGGUGCCUCCCGAGCAGGUAGAGACAACAUGUAGGCCUGUAUGGAAUGUGGGAGUUUCACUAAAGGCUGUUUUAACCCCUUCCUUCAUGGCCUAUAUUUUGUGAGCAAUAGCUACGAUUUAUUCUUUCCUACAAACAAUAAAAUAACCCGGGGAAAAAGUGCACACCCUUUUGGAUGAGGUAACGAUUGAAGGAAAGGAAUCAAAAGUCGAGAGGAAUGAAAGUCCUACCCAACUAUUGAUUGAUUUGUCAUUUCAGUGUCUCUCUAUUCCACCAUUGUUGUGAAUGUGCUGCCGUCGUCAUAGUCACAUUAGUUUCAACAUAUGCGACAGCUGGCUUAAAACAUGCAGCAGAACAAAUGUCAUUUUCAGAAGUGACUUUUACUCUUUUUAGAAAGCUUAACGGGAACUACUCACAGGGGACUGUUUCUCACAGACGCACAUUUUAAUCCUGCCGAGUCAAAGUGCACACACACCAACAAAUAGAUUUAUAUCCAUGAAAUGCCUGUAGUGAGCAUCCGCAGUAGCAGAGUGAUCUGACGGCUGUGGAGAAGGCAGCUCCUAGUUUAAAACAUGCUAGACCCUUGGCAUGCCGUGCUCCUCCAACGCACAGCCAGCACCUCUAAUGAUCCAGGCCUGUGAGGAGGUUUUUCCCCUGGUCAGUCCCUUUUAGCAUCCCAGCCAGCGUCUGGGUCCAGGCAAGAGCAGGGCAAACCAGGCUCUCAUGCAUGAGGCCUACAUCUACAUGGCAGCCUGUCUCUUCCCAGCACCAAGGCUCCAGCAGCAGGGGUAGGCAGCCUGUCUCUUCCCAGCACCAAGACUCCAGCAGCAGGGGUAGGCAGCCUGUCUCUUCCCAGCACCAAGACUCCAGCAGCAGGGGUAGGCAGCCUGUCUCUUCCCAGCACCAAGGCUCCAGCAGCAGGGGUAGGCAGCCUGUCUCUUCCCAGCACCAAGGCUCCAGCAGCAGGGGUAGGCAGCCUGUCUCUUCCCAGCCUUAGGGCCACAGCUGGGCCUGGUAACUCUUACCUCCCGCCACAGACCUGUCAGUCCCCUUAACCAUAAGGACACACAACACAGCAGGGGACGGAUGUUUCCAACCUUAGGGCCCUGGCUGGUAGGGCAGGGAGAUGUUCUCCCCCCAGGCCUGCUACAUGGGCAGAUUGGGGUUCGGGGGGCUCUGUGUAUAGUGUCGGGGGUCAGAACUAUGAGCUGAUCUGUGUGUUUCAGGAGAAGACCUCUUUACAGUACAGGGGGAAACCGCACAAAGAAGGCUCUGGAGCCAACGCCAACAGGACAAAUAUCCACACAUCAGAGAGCCAGCAGGAGUUCUUCAGGAUGUUGGAUGAGAAGAUUGAGAAGGGACUGGACUACUGUUCAGAGGAAGAAGAGGCAGAGGAUGGGACAUAGCAAACAAGGCCUGACUCAACCCCCUACAGAGAGCCUCCCAGAGUGUGUGCGAGUGCAUGUUCGUCUGAAUCAGUGUGUGUAUGUUCCACUGCCUUUGUAUGUGAUUCUGUAUGUGUCUGUGUGAGCAUGUAGGUUUUUGGUGUGUGAAAGAGCGAUGGAUAGCUAUUCUCAAAGACUGUUGCCCCCCUCUUGGCUGUCGUCCCAUUGGGCCCCUGAGUGGAUUACUGGAGGGAGAGACGAACGAGGAGACAUACAGACAGACAUGUGGACUCACUACCCUGCAGGACUAUGGAGAGAUGCACAUGGAGACAGACAAACGGACAUGUGGACUCACUGCCCUGCAGGACUAUGGAGAGACCCUCCCCUCUAUCCCAACUACCACCCCAGUGAACUGUACUGUGGUCCCUGGUCCAGCUUUGUGUAUACCACCCCCUCAUCACUACAACAUGGAGAAGGAGGACGGACAGAGGAAGAAUGAGCCUUACGGCAGUCUGGGAGACACCCUCCUGGCUUCCACCCUCCAUGGCCCUGACUACUGUGCUUUGCCUGUGAGGAGCAGAGAUGUGGAUAGAGAAAGAGGGGUGCUGGGGAGGGGGUGGUACUUCCAUAACCCCCAUCACAGAGGCUCGCUGCUGCAGUGGGCCAGAGAGGAUCCGAGAGAGGGAAGGGGUAGGGGGAGGGAGGGAGGGAGGGAAAGAAAAAUCUAGAUAUUUUAAUAAGAGAAAGAAGAGUCAGUGAGUGGCUUAUUUUGAAAUUCUGAACUCCUGCCUUUUUGAAGGACUUUUUUAUUAUGUUGAUCCAGUUCAUUAUUUUUGGUUUAUUUUAAUGUUUUUUUUUUUAAAUUAUUAUUAUUUGGCUUCUAUCAUAGUGCAUCACCUCCUGCAGGCUACAGCUCUAUAGGUCAGAGUUCCUGUGUCACUACACCUGUCCUCUUAAAUAUACCCUCAACGCUAAUAUACCAGACCCUGGCUAUGUGAAACACACUCCACUUCAUAUUCAUAGAUGCAGACACAGAAGUGCACACUCAUACUUUCAGAUACACACAGACAAAUGCAGAUAGACUCAUACACACACAUAUGCCAUUGUAUUCCUGUCGUUCUUUAGCCGCGUGUUAUGUAAGUAUGUUAAUAGGCUGUGAUGUUGAGGGUUUUGGGUGAAUGUUGGAACCAGCAGCUGUGGGUUUCUGCUGCUGGACUUCUUCAUGUUCACUUGUUGUGUUUAUUACUCUUUCCUCUGCAUUGGUAGCCCAGCCUCCACUUCUCUUCAACUCAGCAGUAUUGAUGCUUACUGGCAGCGUGGAGUCACCCUCUGUUGACACACACACACCCACACACCGCCUUUUCAUGGAAGUGAGAAGUGAGAUUUAAAGGAAAAGAGGUGUGGUUGCCUGGGAGACAAAGCCCUGAACGUUCUUCUGUCAUCAUUACUGGAUCGUUCCUUUUUCAUUUGAUUUUCAGUACUUUUUGUUUUUCUAUUAAAAAUAAAAACACAGGAGCUGUUCAUCUGCUGUGUGUAUCUAUCAGUGGUGGAAAAAGUACCCAAUUGUCAUACUUGAGUAAAAGUAAAGAUACCUUAAUAGAAAAUGACUCAAGUCAAAGUCACCCAGUAAAUUACUACUUGAGUAAAAGUCUAAAAGUAUUCGGUUUGAAAUAUACUUAAGUAUCAAAAGUAAAAGUAUGAAUAAUUAAAAAAUUACAAUUAUUAAGCAACCCAGACUGCACAGUUUUUUAUUUACAGAUAGCUAGGGGCACACUCCCAACAGUC